AGUGAACGCUGGCGGUAGGCCUAACACAUGCAAGUCGAACGGCAGCACAGUAAGAGCUUGCUCUUACGGGUGGUGAGUGGCGGACGGGUGAGGAAUACAUCGGAAUCUACUUUUUCGUGGGGGAUAACGUAGGGAAACUUAUGCUAAUACCGCAUACGACCUACGGGUGAAAGCAGGGGAUCUUCGGACCUUGCGCGAUUGAAUGAGCCGAUGUCGGAUUAGCUAGUUGGCGGGGUAAAGGCCCACCAAGGCGACGAUCCGUAGCUGGUCUGAGAGGAUGAUCAGCCACACUGGAACUGAGACACGGUCCAGACUCCUACGGGAGGCAGCAGUGGGGAAUAUUGGACAAUGGGCGCAAGCCUGAUCCAGCCAUACCGCGUGGGUGAAGAAGGCCUUCGGGUUGUAAAGCCCUUUUGUUGGGAAAGAAAAGCAGCAGGUUAAUACCCCGCUGUUCUGACGGUACCCAAAGAAUAAGCACCGGCUAACUUCGUG
rnacentral:rRNA from 1 species